UCAUCGGCGAAGAGCGCCAGAUGGGUCUC
rnacentral:sRNA from 1 species